rnacentral:lncRNA from 1 species
CUGGCAGAUAAAUUAGAACAAAGAUUGAUGCCUAACCCCCAAAUCGGCACCUCACUGAAUUUUUGUGUAGUUGAAAAUAUUGAUUUAUUUUAUUUAAACUCAUAGACCUUAUUUUUUUACACCUUUGUACCAUGCAAUUAAAAAGCUACCCCAAUGUCCAGCAGCAAAGGAUGAGGAAUUUCACCAUAGUGUUGAAACCAGGAGAAAAAGCAAAAUGGAAUCUAGGUGUCACCAGGUAUAGAAACACUGUAGAAUGUUAGGUUGAGCUAGCCUUGAGCUAACAACCAAUUGGAUAUUGCUACACAAAAGCAGUAAGAACAUAGUCUUUAUACCAGUGCCACACAUACAGUAGGCCAAUAGGAGACACUGAACUGAAACAGGCAUGGCUCUGUCUUUUCCUCUUUUAUGGACAAAAUUUAUUGAUAUCCAUCUUUUUCUUUUCAAAUUUUAUUGCCAUCCGAUGUUGCCCGUGACUCAUCUGCACAGAGGUGACCACAGAGAAGCUUGAGGAACAAGCCACAUGGAGGCAGCAGCUGGAGAAGGCUGUGAACAGGAACAGAUGGAGGGGAUCCAUGUGACCCGAGCAGGUGGGACAGGAACCAAAGGCUGCAAUUUGUUACUGCAGCCUAACCUGAGAAGGACGGCCCCAUUUUCUCCCAGAUUAGAUAGCAGUAA